rnacentral:lncRNA from 1 species
AGGCACCUAACAACAGUCGUCAACAGAGAGCCCCACGGGUGUAGAAGACAACUUUGAUAAUACUGCAGCUCAUAAACUCAGAACCUUCCAUUAUAUCUUGUCAAGCUUUUCAGCCUUAACAACUGGGUUGGCUUUCGCAAUAGCAUCUUGAGCAGCCUUGUGAUAAUCAUAGGGACAGUCAUGCUUGUCAGAGUAGCGAUGGGUUGAGCAGAAAAGAUGCCCACAUCGGCAAUUGAAGCCAGUCAAACCAACUCGUUUCCUACAGGUAUUGCACCGCUUUGGCCCCUCUUUAGGCUUCUCUACAUUGUCAUUCUCUGGUGGUACGCAUACAACUUGCUUGGGUAUUACCAGGGACUCUGCCGGGCCUUCCUGAACACCCACAGCAACAUCAACAGCCUUUGCAGUGGGGCUUGAACUUCCAUUCACAAAGCUCUCAAUAGAUGAAGCAGCAAGUUCAGCUUGUUCUUGCUUA